GCGCAUCCCCUCUCGGUUCUCAGGGGUCCUCCUGCUGUCAGUCCCGCGCAUCCCCUCUUGGUUCUCAGGGGUCCUCCAGCUGUCAGGCCCGUGCAUCGCCUCUCUGUCUCCUCUGCCGCUAGAGCCAUCACUCAAUGCUCUGGACCGUACCCCUCCCGGGGCAGGAGGUUUCGGAACGCAUGUCAUUUUCGGGAAGACGGGAAGGAUGAAUGAAUGAGCCAGAGUGCACUUUCUAUAACAUAUACACGGGAAAUGGGAGCUGGAUGCAGAUAAGUCUUUCAUGCUUAUUAAGAACAUUUUAAUGUUUCUCA